ACCGGCCUCCGCCGCGGGCUCUGCCCGCUCGCCUGCUCGCCUGGUGGGGGAGAGGGGAGCGGGGCCGACACAGGACUGCAGUUGACAGCAGAUAACUGAAAGCUCGGAAAGCGAAACCGUGGAUAAGCAGGGGAACUGUGGCAUCCCAUUUAAAAUUGCUUCUGAAGAGAAGCAUGAGGUUACAUCUGUAAUCUCCCUGCAGCAGAGUCAACUGCAUAAGAAACCAAAAGACACACCUGCUCCAUGCCAGCCUAAGCCACCACAUAAAAAGUCAGACCAUCUGCUGGAAGAACCACAUGGAGAGGCCCUGAGUCAACAUGGAGAGGAAGAAGGACUUGACUGAAUCCAGCCUUCCAGCUGUCCCUACCAAGGUGCCAGGCAUGAGAAUGAAGCUGUCUUGAACUCUGAAGACCAGCUUAGCCACCAGAGGCUGUCUCAGCAGGAAGGAGUUGGAGUUGGAGAAAAAGGAGAAUUAAGAAUCUAUCUGGCGAUGUGGAUUAAAUAAACAACAAAUUGGCAGAUUGUUUUUAAAAGUUUCUGUGGGCCUCAAACAACACUUUCUGCAUUUUCCCCUCUCGCCCCCUACUCAUCACUCCCUGAAAGGUCUGUUCUGAAAAAUUGAGAAGAUGAUCUAUCUUCACUUCAAAAAGAAAUCUCUAAGGAGCAAGUGGACACAGCCUGCCUCCCAUAAGCUGUCUGGCUCACUCAUUUUAUUCCUGGAAAUCAGCAUUUCUCCAUUUUCUGUCUUCAGAAGUCAAUCAUUUCCUGAGAAAUGAGGAAAAAGAUGGAGGUCACAGAGACCAGUAAGAGCAAGGAGGGAGAGGAAAAAGCUGAACAUGAAACUCGAGGAAGAAACAGAAUAUGCAGAGGAAUAAAAAAAGUGAGUAGAUCUCUAGAGACAGAAAGUAGAUUAGCGGUUGCCUAGGGCUGGGGAGCAGGAAGAAUAGGGAGUAGGACAGGCAGCAUGACAGGCCCCCCAAAGAUGUCCAUGUCCUCAUCUGUGGAACCUGUGAAUGUUAUGUGGCCAGGGGGAAUUAAGGUUGCUAAUCAAGCGACCUCAAAAUAAAGAGGGUAUCUUGAAUUAUCCAGGUGAGCACAUUGUACUCACAAGAGUCCUUAUAUAGGGAAGAGGCAGAAGUCAGAUCAGAAAGAGAACAUCCUAAGACUUGACCAGCCAUUGCUGGCUUUGAAGAUGGAAGGGGGCCAUGAGCCAAAGAAUGCAGGCAGCCCUUAGAGGCUGGCAAAGGCAAGAAGUGGAUUUUCCCCUGGUGCCUCUGGCAAGAACACAGGCCCUGAUACUUUGGUUUUAGCCCAGCGGGGCCCAUUUUGGACUUCUGU
ensembl:lncRNA ITGA9-AS1 ITGA9 antisense RNA 1